ACACUUGAAUCUUUCCCGUUCAGGCUGCAUGGUGCCGGGCUGGGGACAGUGCUAUGCCAUGAGCAAAGGCUAUCCUAUCCAGACAAGUUGUCUUCCAUUUGCCUUGGCGCUUCUUCCUACAACUCUGCCUUCUUU